CCUACGGGUGGCAGCAGUGGGGAAUAUUGCACAAUGGGGGAAACCCUGAUGCAGCGACGCCGCGUGAGUGAAGAAGGAUUUCGGUACGUAAAGCUCUAUCAGCAGGGAAGAAAAUGACGGUACCUGACUAAGAAGCCCCGGCUAACUACGUGCCAGCAGCCGCGGUAAUACGUAGGGGGAAAGCGUUAUCCGGAUUUACUGGGUGUAAAGGGAGCGUAGACGGCAGCUCAAGUCUGGAGUGAAAUCCCAUGGCUUAACCAUGGAACUGCUUUGGAAACUGUGCAGCUAGAGUGCAGGAGAGGUAAGCGGAAUUCCUAGUGUAGCGGUGAAAUGCGUAGAUAUUAGGAGGAACACCAGUGGCGAAGGCGGCUUACUGGACUGUAACUGACGUUGAGGCUCGAAAGCGUGGGGAGCAAACAGGAUUAGAUACCCGAGUAGUC
rnacentral:rRNA from 1 species